rnacentral:rRNA from 1 species
GAGGAAUAUUGGUCAAUGGGCGAGAGCCUGAACCAGCCAAGUAGCGUGCAGGAUGACGGCCCUAUGGGUUGUAAACUGCUUUUAUGUGGAGAUAAAGUGAGCUACGUGUAGUUUAUUGCAGGUACCACAUGAAUAAGGACCGGCUAAUUCCGUGCCAGCAGCCGCGGUAAUACGGAAGGUCCAGGCGUUAUCCGGAUUUAUUGGGUUUAAAGGGAGCGUAGGCCGUGGAUUAAGCGUGUUGUGAAAUGUAGACGCUCAACGUCUGAAUUGCAGCGCGAACUGGUUCACUUGAGUAUGCACAACGUAGGCGGAAUUCGUCGUGUAGCGGUGAAAUGCUUAGAUAUGACGAAGAACUCCGAUUGCGAAGGCAGCUUACGGGAGCACAACUGACGCUGAAGCUCGAAGGUGCGGGUAUCAAACAGGAUUAGAUACCCUGGUAGUCCGCACAGUAAACGAUGGAUGCCCGUUGUUAGUUCACUUAAGAAUUAGCGACCAAGCGAAAGCAUUAAGCAUCCCACCUGGGGAGUACGCCGGCAACGGUG